GCUCAGAUUGAACGCUAGCGGGAUGCCUUACACAUGCAAGUCGAACGGCAGCACGGACUUCGGUCUGGUGGCGAGUGGCGAACGGGUGAGUAAUGUAUCGGAACGUGCCUAGUAGCGGGGGAUAACUACGCGAAAGCGUAGCUAAUACCGCAUACGCCCUACGGGGGAAAGCAGGGGAUCGCAAGACCUUGCACUAUUAGAGCGGCCGAUAUCGGAUUAGCUAGUUGGUGGGGUAACGGCUCACCAAGGCGACGAUCCGUAGCUGGUUUGAGAGGACGACCAGCCACACUGGGACUGAGACACGGCCCAGACUCCUACGGGAGGCAGCAGUGGGGAAUUUUGGACAAUGGGGGAAACCCUGAUCCAGCCAUCCCGCGUGUGCGAUGAAGGCCUUCGGGUUGUAAAGCACUUUUGGCAGGAAAGAAACGUCAUGGGUUAAUACCCCGUGAAACUGACGGUACCUGCAGAAUAAGCACCGGCUAACUACGUGCCAGCAGCCGCGGUAAUACGUAGGGUGCAAGCGUUAAUCGGAAUUACUGGGCGUAAAGCGUGCGCAGGCGGUUCGGAAAGAAAGAUGUGAAAUCCCAGAGCUUAACUUUGGAACUGCAUUUUUAACUACCGAGCUAGAGUGUGUCAGAGGGAGGUGGAAUUCCGCGUGUAGCAGUGAAAUGCGUAGAUAUGCGGAGGAACACCGAUGGCGAAGGCAGCCUCCUGGGAUAAC
rnacentral:rRNA from 3 species